rnacentral:rRNA from 1 species
AUUGAACGCUGGCGGCGGGCUUAACACAUGCAAGUCGAGCGGGGUGAUGGUGCUUGCACUAUCACUUAGCGGCGGACGGGUGAGUAAUGCUUAGGAAUCUGCCUAUUAGUGGGGGACAACAUCUCGAAAGGGAUGCUAAUACCGCAUACGUCCUACGGGAGAAAGCAGGGGAUCACUUGUGACCUUGUGCUAAUAGAUGAGCCAAAGUCGGAUUAGCUAGUUGGUGGGGUAAAGGCCUACCAAGGCGACGAUCUGUAGCGGGUCUGAGAGGAUGAUCCGCCACACUGGGACUGCGACACGGCCCAGACUCCUACGGGAGGCAGCAGUGGGGAAUAUUGGACAAUGGGGGGAACCCUGAUCCAGCCAUGCCGCGUGUGUGAAGAAGGCCUUAUGGUUGUAAAGCACUUUAAGCGAGGAGGAGGCUUACCUAGUUAAUACCUGGGAUAAGUGGACGUUACUCGCAGAAUAAGCACCGGCUAACUCUGUGCCAGCAGCCGCCGUAA